AAUGUGCUGCCAAUCAGGGCAUGCAGGAGACCUUUUUCAUACUGAAGAGGUGCUUUGGAGUUUGGAGUGAUGAAGACACCUACAUGUAGUACCUACGCCGUAACAUGAUAAUAUUGUUUUGCAGCUCGAGUAGCUAGCCACCAGGGACGAAAGUUUCGUUUUUGUAAGUUCCUGAUUGUGAAAUGAGGAAUGACUAUGUGGUCACCAAUUCACACCAGCGUGAUGACUUCCGCUGUACAAGGUAAUGGCAUAAACCACUACUGCGCAGUACAUGGCGUCUCUCUGCCUAUGGACUGGCAUCGGCUGAAGAGAGAGAGCACAUGCUGCUGCUUGCUGGUUUAGGUUAUAUCAUCAUCGUCAUCUCAUCAGCCCUUUCGCCUUGGCAUCGGUGUCAGCCUAGCCUUCGCUUGGGCACACCCAAUGUUAGACAUGAUACCAGAAGAGAAGGGGAGAUAAAGGGAAAGAAAGCAAAAACAGAAAACGCAAUCUUUCCGAUCCUAUCAUGGGCAACAACAAUCACACGUUGCCUCCAUUCUGUUCACAUACAGCAAUAGACAGACAACAAUAAACUGCCUAUUUUUAA